rnacentral:lncRNA from 1 species
CGGAUGACUUCUCACAUCCCAAUGAGAGAGACACCAUUCAAUCUAGCAUAUGAAAUAGAAGUAGUGAUCCCAUUGGAGAUCGGACUACCAUCAAUGAGAGUUGAACAGUAUACAGAGCCAAAUAAUUUCGACCACCGAUGAGCCGACUUAGACUUACUUCUGAAGGUUCGGUUAUAAGCUCAAAUAAGGAUGACUACAUAUCGAUAAAGAUUAGUUCGGUAUUACAAUGC